AGUAAGCUGUGAAGGAGGCUGUCAAAAUGGUGGGGAAUGCAUCUCUGUCAAUGGAGUUGUGAAGUGCCUUUGUGCUUCUGGCUGGACAGGAUCAAGAUGCCAAGAAGCAAUUUGUCCCCAGGGUUGUCGGAAUAAUGGAGCUUGUGUGGCUCCUGGGAUUUGUAGCUGUCCAGCUGGAUGGGUUGGUGGAGCAUGUCACUUAGCUGUAUGUAAACUACCUUGUCAACAUGGAGGAAAAUGCAUAGCUCCAAACGUGUGCAGAUGUCGACUGCCGUACUCUGGUCUACAGUGUACAAAGAAAAGGAAGGAAUGAAGCAACUUCAGCAAAGAUAAGCUGCAUUUUCUUCAUGUAACUCUUCGUACAGAGAUGAAGUCUGCAGCAGUGAGAGACCUUAAAAUAAACAUGGUAACUAAUUGAUUUCAGAUAGCUUUUUGUCUUCAGUAUAUUAAGUAAAUGCUUUUCUGUAUGAAAGAAAAGUAUUGCUGAUUGUAGCAAAGCUGUUAAAAGUAUCCAAGUGUAUGUAGUGUAUGGCACAUGUUUUCUUCUGUUCUCAUUUUUCUUCAUAAGCAGAAGUAUUAUGUCUUGGUUGAUGCAGCUGACCGUGAAAUAAAAUUUACUCUUCAAAU